rnacentral:rRNA from 1 species
CGUGUAGGCGGUUGUGUAAGUGGGAUGUGAAAUGCCUCGGCUUACCCGGGGACCUGCAUCCCAUACUGCAUGACUUGAGUACGGGAGAGGAUGAGGGAAUUCCUGGUGUAGCGGUGAAAUGCGUAGAUAUCAGGAGGAACACCGGUGGCGAAGGCGCUCAUCUGGCCCGAUACUGACGCUGAGGCGCGAAAGCUAGGGUAGCGAACG